AUGAAAAAUACAAUAACAAUAGUAGUAUCAGUAAGAAUAAAGAGCUUCAUGCUAAUGGUCCAUAUGGAAUUUAUAAUGUGGACAGAAACCCAACUAUUUCCAUUUUUUCUGCAUUUGGCUUUGUUCAGCUUCAGAAAUUAGCCAUGGGAUUACAGAUAAACAUACACCAUCCAGAAAAUUGCAUUCCACCAACUGAACCUCACCUCGAAUGACCCUGGUGUUGUGUCUUUCAGAAGGAAACACUUCCAGAGCAGGAGGGUGAUGUGGACCAGCUGGGAGUUCUGGGAAACUCUCCGGGGAAGAUUUCCAUCUCCAGAGCUGAAGCCAGGGAGUGGUGCUUGCCUGCUGUUGGUGGAGGGAGUGGAGAUCCUGUGGUUACUCUGGCAUGUUCAGUAGUGUAGCCAGCUGCAGUGGUCUUUUGGUUGACACCCUUGGUUACUCAUUGCCAGUUUUGAAAGUUGGGCUUUUCAAUGUAGAACAGUUCCUUGAAAAAUUAACCAUUCCAAAAGAUCUCUGGACAUGUUGAUACAGAUCUCUAGCUUCUUGCCCUUGUGUUUGUACAAAUAUCUCGUUGCAGGUCCCUCAUUGCAACUGAAAUAGUAGAAGGUGAUUCUUCGCCUGUUUUCAGUGCAAGAUUUAAAGGAUAAGAUGUAGCUUUAUUUCUCUCACAGAAUAUGUGAGAAUUUUUUUUCCCCUUCUGGUAGUAAUUUCUACUUUUUGAGUCAUCUUCUCUGAAGCAUUAAAAAAAUUAAUCCCAAGGAUAUUCAAAGCUCACAAGAGUGAGAAGGUGCAGAAUGCUUCUAAAGCUUUAAAUGCUCUAGACCAGGUCCUGUGGCAUUAACCAAUGAAUCCCCACAGCACCUCCAGAACUGCAGCUUUCACUGAGCAUUUUGUUGUCUGGACCCUAUCAUAAUUUGUAAAAAUCAACACACAGAUAUUCAAAGUAACUGCACCUGUGUCACAUACAGGAGCAGCCAGCUGGGCACCAGGAUGAAAGCUUAGAAAGCAGGGAUCUGAUUUCAGGUCCGUGUGGGAAUUGUUAUGGCUUUUCUGUUUCCUAAUGCCUGAAGUGCUUUCUGAUUAUGCAUGCACAUGUCAGAGCAGAAUGUGGACAUGCACUAGCCCCUGUAGCAUUUCUGUUUUUGUAAAAAAAAACAGGGUUGGCAGGCUGAGCAGAGUGGUGGUGGGCUGUAGAUCAGCAGAGAAUGAGGAUUACAGGGCUCAUAUCCUGGCUGUUAAAUCAGUAGCACCUGUCUAGUAAGCCUUGACAAGGCUAAUUACUGUAGGACAAGUCAUUUUUCCUAUGUUUUGCUUCCCCUUUUCAAUCACCUCAUAUUUUUUAUUGUAGUCUCUGCAGGACAGGGAGAACAAAUGUUGCUUAAGAGCGUGGGCAGGAGUUUAGCAUGACUUUAGUUGUUGCAAAGCCUGGAGUGACCUGGUAGAACUUCCCAAGAGACAAUCACUACCACUUAAGGCACAGUUAUCUGAGAUUUUAUGUGAUGAUUAUCAUUAGAGAGGCAAAAACUUUCAUGUGAUCUCAUGCUGGUAGAAUAUCCAUGAUCAGACUAAACUAAAUGCCUGUGAGGACUUGCUGGAUCUCUCAAUUCCCACGGUCUCCUGCCCAAGUGUCAAGACAGAAAAAAGCAGCAAGGGCAUGAAGGAAAAAUGAGUGGAGUCACCAGAAAUCCUGGGAGAUGUGAAGGCAACUGGAGAAAACUGCAAGGCAAAAUAUUUCAGAGACAUGUACAGGACCAAGGGGACAUGUGGUGAACUUGCAAUGCUGGGAGCAGAGAGGUGUUGUUUGGGGUUAAAAAGGAAAGCUCUGGGACAUUGAACUGCAGGAAAUCAAGGUUCAGUAGUUCUGCUCCUCAGGGAACAACUUGUCUUCAGAGCUUGACAGUAUUGCAUUGUGGUUAAAUGUGUCUGGAAGGAUUGGUUUAUUGCUAUCUUGAUAUAUGAAUCUCCUCCAGAUACUUAUCUCAGAGGUUGUGGAGGGGUUCAGUAAGCAAUGGCAGGCUAUAAAUGGGGGAGGAGAAGGACGUCAAGCUUAACAUCAGGGAGGAAGUAAAGCUAAAAUAAUAAAUAUUGAUUUGGAGUAUGUCUCUUAUUAUCUCUGAGUGAACAGGAAAAUGUUAUAAUAAUGUGAUAUUUAUGUGAACCAUAAAUUAUCCACGUGGAGC